GCCCACUGCCAGCUCCUCAUCCCUUAGGCUGCAACAAGCUAUACCAGGAAAAACAAGAUUUUAUAAGAAUGAAUUCUUCUCAGCAUUGAGGUUUUAGCACCAAUGUUACUCCUUUGAGUCUUUCUUUGACCACAAUUGAUCAUUUUCUACUCUUCACCCGACAUUCUUCAUCCCUGGGAGACAAAUCACAUCUGGUUACUUCAGUUCCAUUGGAGACUUUGCUGACCGGAACUUGACAAGUUUACCCUACACUCCCAGAUCUGCCUCCGAUCUAGACGUUUAUGCAAAGAUCUUCCUAAAAAUGUCUGCUGUGAUUCUUACCAACUUUUCAGCCUCCCACCAUCUGCAACUCUAGAAUUCUCCAGUUUUAUUUAUGAAAAUUCUAGGCAGGAGUAAUCAUAUCCUGAUAUCGUCUUCAUCUCACGUGGAAGAUAAUGUCCUGAUGUGUGUUUUUUAAAUCUCUUAUAACUAGACUAG